GGGGGCGAGUCAGAUUCGACGUCGGCAGUGCCGGCGGGAGAAGCAGGCCGGGGACCAGGACCCCGUAAUCAACCUGGACCAAGUAGAAACGCCAACGAGAGCUACGCUCUGGCUGCCUAGCGCAGCCACGUCCCUCCAGCCCAAUCCUGCGGGGCUGCCAGGGGCGUCAAACUAGCGGGAUACCGCCAGGGAAACCGGUCCGGGUCCCCGGCGGGAACCUUACGGGCCUGGCCCCAACCGGAUCCUUCCCUUGGGAGCCGGGACGGGCGACCAAAGCAAAGCAAGGGAUAAGCCUGUAGAAGCUCCCGUCAGUGCGCCGGCGGACCCGCCGGGCAGCUCGGCGGCGCCUCCACCA
rnacentral:tmRNA from 1 species